GGGGAAUUUUGCGCAAUGGGGGAAACCCUGACGCAGCAACGCCGCGUGAGUGAUGAAGGCCUUCGGGUCGUAAAGCUCUGUCAGAGGGGAAGAAGUGUGGGGUGGCUAAUAUCCAUUUCACUUGACGGUACCUUCAAAGGAAGCACCGGCUAACUCCGUGCCAGCAGCCGCGGUAAUACGGAGGGUGCGAGCGUUGUUCGGAAUUAUUGGGCGUAAAGCGCGUGUAGGCGGUUUUUCAAGUCUGAUGUGAAAGCCCUGGGCUCAACCCGGGAAGUGCAUUGGAAACUGGGAGACUUGAAUACGGGAGAGGGCAGUGGAAUUCCUGGUGUAGGAGUGAAAUCCGUAGAUAUCAGGAGGAACACCGGUGGCGAAGGCGGCUGCCUGGACCGAUAUUGACGCUGAGACGCGAAAGCGUGGGGAGCAAACA
rnacentral:rRNA from 1 species